GACAGGGGGAGGGUUCACGUCCCGGCAGGACAGCUGCUCAGAACAGCAUGGAAUUGAAAACUCAUGAAUGGUUUAUUUCUGGAAUUUUCCACUUAGUAUUUUUGGAGCGUGGCUGACCAUGGGUAACUGAAACUGUGUGUAAAGGGGACUAUUGUGAGGGGCUGUGCACAAAUGCUUCCCAGCUCUGCCCUGAAGGCCUGAACGCGGCGCCCCCCACACUCAGGGUCUUGGCCCUGAUACCAUUCUCUAACCAAAGGAACCAGGGCCAGGCCAGAGAAGGUAUUGGAUAAGCCAGAGAGUGAAGAAUUGCUGAGAUGAAGGGGCUUACUGAAAUAAUACUGGGGGAUAGGAAGGAGCACACGAUGGCCAACCUGGGGCAAUUUGAGCAUGAAAAUAAACAGGCUGGGCGCAGUGGCUCACACCUGCAAUCCCUGCACUGUAGGAGGCCAAGGUGGGAGGGUCACUUGAGGCCAGGAGUUCGAGACCAGCCUGGGCAACAUGGUGAAACCUGUCUCUACAAAACAUAAGAAAAAUCAGCUGUGUGUGGUGUCACCCGCCUGUAGUCCCAGAUACUCAGGAGGCUGAGGUGGGAGGAUCACGUGAGCCAGAGGUUAAGUCUGCAGUGAGCCACGAUUAUACCACUGCUCUGCAGCCUGAGCAACAAAGCAGGACCUUGUCUCACAAAA